AUAGGUUUGCAUCCAGGCUUUGAAAGAGGGGGAGAGAGCACAUGUUUGCCCAUUUUGUUCUAGUUUAAUAAUUUCAAAGAUGCAGUGCCAAAAUUCCUUUUUGUGAACAGGUGGUGAUCUUGAACAGUUGAACUUGUGAAAUCUCUCUUGUUAGUGACAGUUCACAACGAUUUCUUGCCAUAACUUUCUCUUUGUAAAAAGAAAGCUUUUCUUGUUUUCUGAAACUUGUGAAAGGAAAAGCUGAGAUGUGAUCACUGGAGAGACAAAACAAAAAGAGAAGAAUGUGGUUGCG
rnacentral:lncRNA from 1 species